GACGAACGCUGGCGGCGUGCCUAACACAUGCAAGUCGAACGGGGAGUUAGCAAUAACUCCUAGUGGCGAACGGGUGAGUAACGCGUAGACAACCUGCCUCUAAACUGGGGACAACACCGCGAAAGUGGUGCUAAUACCGAAUGUGGUAACUUGAUCGCAUGAACGAGUUAAGAAAGAUGGCCUCUAUUUAUAAGCUAUCGAUUAGAGAUGGGUCUGCGUCUGAUUAGCUAGUUGGUGAGGUAAUGGCUCACCAAGGCGACGAUCAGUAGCCGGUCUGAGAGGAUGAACGGGCACACUGGGACUGAGACACGGCCCAGACUCCUACGGGAGGCAGCAGUGGGGAAUCUUCCGCAAUGGACGAAAGUCUGACGGAGCAACGCCGCGUGAGUGAAGAAGGUCUUCGGAUUGUAAAGCUCUGUCGUUUGGGACGAACGUGGGUAGUGUGAAUAAUGCUAUCUAAUGACGGUACUAAAGGAGGAAGCCACGGCUAACUACGUGCCAGCAGCCGCAGUAA
rnacentral:rRNA from 1 species